CAUAUGGUGUCAGACAAAAUAGAUGCUCUGAUGGCGAUAUGGCUUCUAAAUGAGGU
rfam:[Actinobacillus] muris strain Ackerman80-443D cont37, whole genome shotgun sequence.